CCGGCUGCCGAAACGGGGCCGGCUCGUCAAUCCGGCGUCGAGGACGUCUGAACUUGACGCCGUCUUGUACCCAUGUUGCUUCAAAGGAGGAUGUGGCUAUGAGAA
rnacentral:sRNA from 1 species